rnacentral:rRNA from 1 species
AACGAACGCUGGCGGCAGGCUUAACACAUGCAAGUCGAACGCCCCGCAAGGGGAGUGGCAGACGGGUGAGUAACGCGUGGGAAUCUACCCAGUUCUACGGAACAACACAGGGAAACUUGUGCUAAUACCGUAUACGCCCCAAGGGGGAAAGAUUUAUCGGAAUUGGAUGAGCCCGCGUUGGAUUAGCUAGUUGGUGAGGUAAUGGCUCACCAAGGCGACGAUCCAUAGCUGGUCUGAGAGGAUGAUCAGCCACACUGGGACUGAGACACGGCCCAGACUCCUACGGGAGGCAGCAGUGGGGAAUAUUGGACAAUGGGCGCAAGCCUGAUCCAGCCAUGCCGCGUGAGUGAUGAAGGCCUUAGGGUUGUAAAGCUCUUUCAGUGGGGAAGAUAGUGACGGUACCACAGAAGAAGCCCGGCUAACUUCGUG